ensembl:snRNA U6 U6 spliceosomal RNA
AUGCUCACUUUAGCAGCACACAUACUAAAUUUGAAACGAUACAGAGAAGAUUACCAUGGCCCCUUUCAAAGAUAACACACAAAUUCCUGGAAAAUUAUCUUUUUUA